CCGAGAUUGAGCCACUGCACUCCAGCCUGGGUGACAGAGCGAGACUCCGUCUCAAAAAAAAAAAAAAAAAAUUUAAAGGAAGACAAGUAAACUAUAAUUCAAGAAAAAUAUAGAGUUGUCCUAGAAUUUAGUGCCAUAGGCUGAUACAAUUAUGAAAAAAAACUGAAGAAAGUUGACCUUCUGAUCUGAGAGAUCUUAGAGAGAUGAACAAUUGUUGUAAUAUCAUCCCCGUCAUAAUAUCUGCCCUAUAGAUAUUACUGAGUUUUUUUAAUUGUUAAGUUAUAUUCCAUUGGCUCAGGUCUCUUGUGUUUAUCUAAUCUCAUCAUUUUCUGUUGGUUACAUUGAUCUAACUCAAUUUUAGAGGUACCUCAUUUUUUCUUCCAUCUACAGAUCUAGCUAGUUUAAAGAUGAAAACUGCAGCAGAUGAGAAAGAAAAAUACAACUGGAAAACUUGGAUGAAUUAGAAACACUAAACAGUUUUCAGGAAAGCUGAGUAUCAGAGAAAAACAGAUGCUGGAGGAAAAGAAAAAAAGAGGACACAAAAACUGUCCUGGCCAAAGGGGUCAUGACCACACAUUAUCCUUGGAUGAGGGCUUCCUUUAUGGUGACAAUUGAACAGAAGCAUUUAGAGCAGAUUACAAUGCAUAUUAUACGUACAAUGAAAUCAUUGAAACAGAAAAAAGAGCCAAAAUUGAUGUCUUUGCCUUAAAUCUUGCUUCUUUCUAGUUUAUUCUCUCCACAGUGGUCGGGGCAGUCUGAGAGAAUACGGUGGAAUCGAUGGUAUGCGACUUCCAAGGUUAGGUCAUAAAAGACAUUGAAGUUUCUGCUUUGUCUCUUGAAUCACUUUCUCUGGGGGAAACCAGCUACUGGGUCAUAAGGACACUCAAGCAGCACCAUGGAGGGGCCCAAGUGGAGAGAAACCAACUUGCCAGCAUUAACUUGGUAGUUGUGCAGCCAUGUGAAUGAGUGGAUCCUACCAUCCUAGUCAAACCUCUGAUAACUGAAGGUCCCACCUAUAUUUGACUGCAGUCUUCCAACAGACCCCACCCAAGCUGCUCUAGGAUUCCUGACCUACAGAAACUGUGAGGGAUAAGAUAUGCUUGUUGUUUUAACCCACUAAGUUUUAGAGUGAUUUGUUACACAGCAAUAUACAACAAAUACACAAGUCAUCACAGGUAAUAUUUUUAUUAAAUAUUUGCAUAGUACAAACCUGGGUCUCCAUCUUUGUAGGCUUUGAUUUUUGUUUUUUACCAAUCACUGACUGUUAAGCCACAUAUUUUAAGUUUUUGUUACAAUCACACCUAACCUCAAUGUACCAAUUUCUGUAAAUAGAUAAUGCUAGGUACCGUAACCGAUAAAUCUUGACAUCUGAGUGGAUUAAUACAAUAAAAGUUUAUUUUUCAUCUCAUGUAAGGUCUAAAAGUCCAAUUAAUGGGAAUUUGCAGGGUGGGAAGCCCUCUGAUCAACAACUGUUCAAAAACUGACAUCUUCAUAACAUGGCUUCCAAGGUUGCUCUGGGUGACAGCAUCUUUAACAUAAGGAUGCUAUCUUUAAUAUGUGGCUUCUGGGGUUGCUCUAGGUGACAACAUCCAGUAAUUCAUAUGAAAAUAUCUUUUUCUUCCUUUAUUUUUACUUAUGACAAAGAAAGUUUGCUUGCUUUCAAGCCUGGAACGCCUGGGACCUUCAGUGAACCUCUUCCUCAGAUACAUGCCUGCGUAGUGUCAACUUGCUCUAUUGCUGGGAAGUGCUUGGCUGAUUAUCUUCUUCCUGCCCUGGGAGAUGUCUCACUAAUCAUUCAUUCAUUCAGCAAACAUUACAACGUUCCAGGCACUGUGCUAACUACUGAAUAUUCAGUGAUAUAGGAUAAAAUCUCUGUCCUAAAGUUGCUUGCAGUCAGAUGGGAGAAAAGCAAGUAAAUACAACAAUUUGUGAGCUUUAAAAAAGACCUAUAACAUCUUGUGAAGGAGGGGCAGAACUUAUCAUCCUCAACUAACAUAGAGAAAAUUGUCUCAUAGAGCAGGUAAGUGGCAUCUUGGAAUACCCAGAGUCAGGAGGGGCAAUCAACACCCCUGACUUGAAUGUCAGUGUUCUUUGUGGGUCCCCAGGUCACACAGACCUUCAGGAAUAUCUGUCCAGUGCUGUACUGGAUGCUUCCCUGUGUGGCAGGGGACAAAGACAUGGUGAAAAGCAGACAGGCUUUUUUCUUUCUUUUCUUUCUUUUUUUUUUUUUUUUUUUUAAAUAAUGCCCAAAACACUAGGCCAGGGUUUACACAGCCAGGCUCAAAACUUUCUCACUGAACUUUGAGUACAUCUAUUCUUGGUCACAGAUAUCCCCUGAGGGUGGUGUUAGAACUGCUAUCAAGUGAUUAGCCCUUUUCCUCUGGAGGGAGCUGUACUACUGAUGUCCCGCUGUCUAAUGCAUCUUUUUAUUGGAGCUGAUAGCCCUUGGCUUUCUGGAUGGAGGAGACAGCAAUGGAGUGGAGGGAUUUCUCAGGAAUCUCCCCCAGGGGCUGCUCUACAGGCC
rnacentral:lncRNA from 1 species